AUUUGAUAGGAAGCUCAGUAGUAUAAAUAUAAUAUCAUUUUAGAAUUAAAAUCUUCUCCGCAAAAAAUGGACUUAGCCAGUCCAGAUGAUACAGCCCAGAAAGGAAUACUCGUGUGUCGCGGUAUAACAAGUCUUCUUCUGACUAUUGUUGCAUGGAUUCUGACGUUAUCUGCUAUAAUUGGAAUAUCGGUUGAUUAUGGGAACAUUUUGAAUAGCGACCAAGGAUGUGGACUACAAUCUGCCUUCGGAUUAUUUGUUUGUGCGGAUAGUUGUAUGCUUUUCCUGAUUAUUUGGGAUGGAGUAAACCUAGUGAUUGUAUACUAUUCGCAAGGUUGCUGUCAUUGUGAAUGCUAUCACAUGAAUUUCAUCUUUCAGAUAGCUUCGUUUGGAAUGCUCCUAGUUGGAACCAUCAUUUACGGCUCUAAAGACCCUGAUAAAAUAGGUUGGGCCUUUUGGUUCUGUUUAACGUCGGCUCUCCUCUGUCUUAUAGUUGGAAUAAUGUGGAAAGUGACUCAACA